GACGAACGCUGGCGGCGUGCUUAACACAUGCAAGUCGAACGGAAAGGCCCUGCUUUUGUGGGGUGCUCGAGUGGCGAACGGGUGAGUAGCACGUGAGUAACCUGCCCUUGACUUUGGGAUAACUUCAGGAAACUGGGGCUAAUACCGGAUAGGAGCUCCUGCUGCAUGGUGGGGGUUGGAAAGUUUCGGCGGUUGGGGAUGGACUCGCGGCUUAUCAGCUUGUUGGUGGGGUAGUGGCUUACCAAGGCUUUGACGGGUAGCCGGCCUGAGAGGGUGACCGGCCACAUUGGGACUGAGAGACGGCCCAGACUCCUACGGGAGGCAGCAGUGGGGAAUAUUGCACAAUGGGCGGAAGCCUGAUGCAGCAACGCCGCGUGCGUGAUGACGGCCUUCGGGUUGUAAACCGCUUUCGCCUGUGACGAAGCGUGAGUGACGGUAAUGGGUAAAGAAGCACCGGCUAACUACGUG
rnacentral:rRNA from 1 species